rnacentral:rRNA from 1 species
AGAGUUUGAUCCUGGCUCAGGACAAAAGCUGGCGGCGUGCCUAACACAUGCAAGUCGGACGGGGUGGGGAGCUUCGGCUCCGCACCGAGUGGCGGACGGGUGCGUAACACGUGGAUGACCUACCGCUUGGUGGGGGAUACCCCUCAGAAAUGGGGGCUAAGACCGCAUGAGGUGGGCCGGGUAGAGCCGGUCCAGGAAAGCUCUUCGGAGCGCCGAGCGAGGGGUCCGCGGCCGAUUAGCUAGUUGGUGUGGUAAGAGCGCACCAAGGCGACGAUCGGUAGCUGGUCUGAGAGGAUGAUCAGCCACACUGGGAUUGAGAACGGCCCAGACUCCUACGGGGGGCAGCAGUGAGGGAUCUUCCGCAAUGGGCGCAAGCCUGACGGAGCAACGCCGCGUGGAGGACGACGGCCUUCGGGUUGUAAACUCCUUUUCUGGGGGGCGAGAACGGACGGUACCCCAGGAAGAAGCCUCGGCUAACUACGUGCCAGCAGCCGCGGUAAUACGUAGGAGGCGAGCGUUGUCCGGAGUUACUGGGCGUAAAGGGUGCGCAGGCGGCCGCGCGCGUGGAUGGUGAAAUCUCCCGGCUCAACUGGGAGGGGGCCGUCCAGACGGCGUGGCUUGAGGCUCGGAGGGGGGCGUGGAAUUCCGGGUGGAGCGGUGAAAUGCGUAGAGAUCCGGAGGAACACCGACGGCGAAGGCAGCGCCCUGGACGAGACCUGACGCUCAGGCACGAAAGCUGGGGGAGCAAACAGGAUUAGAUACCCUGGUAGUCCCAGCCCUAAACGAUGUCCACCGGGUGCCGGGGGUAUCGACCCCUCCGGUGCCGCAGCUAACGUGGUGAGUGGACCGCCUGGGGAGUACGGCCGCAAGGUUGAAACUCAAAGGAAUUGACGG